UGCAGUCAUUUCCUGAACGAUGUCUGUGA
rnacentral:piRNA from 1 species